rnacentral:lncRNA from 1 species
ACAACAUAAUUCUUUAAGUAGAAUUUUGCGUCGGCAAAAUGUAACUCAACUUCAGUGAAAAGCUUGUCAUUUGCAACUAUCUUUUUUUUCACUCCGCCUUUGAGGUACUUCAAGCAUUGAUAGUAAGAGGGCGAGAUAAUUUUAUUCCCAUACACCCAAGGCCUACCAAGUAAUAUAUUAUAUGAAGUUUUAGCAUCGAUUACAUGCAUCAAUGCGUUUGAUUGAAAAUCAUCCAUAUAAAUCCCC